rnacentral:rRNA from 1 species
GAUGAACGCUGGCGGCGUGCUUAACACAUGCAAGUCGAACGAGGAAGCCCAGCUUUCCGUUUGUGUUAGUGUCGAACGGGGGUGUAACACGCGAGUAACAUGCGCUUAACAGUGGGAUAUGCCGGUUGGACUGGGUCGAUAAUAGCACAUGAGCGACUACCACAGGGUGGGUGUUUGAAAGAUGUAUCGGUGUUGGAUGGACUCGCGGCCUAUCAGCUUGUUGGUGGGGUAGUGGCGCACCAAGACGACGACGGGUAGUCGGCCUGAGAGGGUGGCCGGCCAGACUGGGACUGAGACACGGACCAGACUCCUACCGGAGGCAGCCGGGGGGAAUAUUGCACAAUGGGCGGAAGCCAGAUGCAGGGACGCCGGGUGAGGGAUGACGGCCUUCGGGUUGUAAACCAAUUUCUGUCGGGAAGAACCAAAAGUGACGGUACCUGAAGAGGAAGCACCGGCUAACUACGUG